rnacentral:rRNA from 1 species
GACGAACGCUGGCGGCGUGCCUAAUACAUGCAAGUAGAACGCGCAGUUUAUACCGUAGCUUGCUACACCAUAAACUGUGAGUUGCGAACGGGUGAGUAACGCGUAGGUAACCUGCCUGGUAGCGGGGGAUAACUAUUGGAAACGAUAGCUAAUACCGCAUAAUAUUAAUUAUUGCAUGAUAAUUGAUUGAAAGAUGCAAUUGCAUCACUACCAGAUGGACCUGCGUUGUAUUAGCUAGUAGGUGAGGUAACGGCUCACCUAGGCGACGAUACAUAGCCGACCUGAGAGGGUGAUCGGCCACACUGGGACGGAGACACGGCCCAGACUCCUACGGGAGGCAGCAGUAGGGAAUCUUCGGCAAUGGACGAAAGUCUGACCGAGCAACGCCGCGUGAGUGAAGAAGGUUUUCGGAUCGUAAAGCUCUGUUGUAAGAGAAGAACGGGUGUGAGAGUGGAAAGUUCACACUGUGACGGUAUCUUACCAGAAAGGGACGGCUAACUACGUG